rnacentral:rRNA from 1 species
GUGCCAGCAGCCGCGGUAAUACCGGCAGCCCGAGUGAUGGCCGAUCUUAUUGGGCCUAAAGCGUCCGUAGCUGGGUCUGAAAGUCCAUCGGGAAAUCCACUCGCUCAACGAGUGGCCGUCCGGUGGAAACUGCACAGCUUGGGACCGGAAGGCUCGAAGGGUACGUUCGGGGUAGGAGUGAAAUCCCAUAAUCCCGCACGGACCACCGAUGGCGAAAGCACUUCGAGAAAACGGAUCCGACAGUGAGGGACGAAAGCUAAGAUCGCGAACCGGAUUAGAUACCCGUGUAGUCC